rnacentral:tRNA from 1 species
GGAGGUUAAAAUCCUCCCUAC